UGCAGUCGAGGGGCAGCAUAGAAGUAGCAAUACUUUGGUGGCGACCGGCGCACGGGUGAGUAACGCGUAUGCAACCUACCUAUCAGAGGGGAAUAACCCGGCGAAAGUCGGACUAAUACCGCAUAAAACAGGGGCACCGCAUGGUGAUAUUUGUUAAAGAAAUUCGCUGAUAGAUGGGCAUGCGUUCCAUUAGGUAGUUGGUGAGGUAACGGCUCACCAAGCCGACGAUGGAUAGGGGAACUGAGAGGUUGGUCCCCCACACUGGUACUGAGACACGGACCAGACUCCUACGGGAGGCAGCAGUGAGGAAUAUUGGUCAAUGGGCGAGAGCCUGAACCAGCCAAGUCGCGUGAAGGAAGAAGGAUCUAUGGUUCGUAAACUUCUUUUGCAGGGGAAUAAAGUGCAGGACGUGUCCUGUUUUGUAUGUACCCUGAGAAUAAGGAUCGGCUAACUCCGUGCCAGCAGCCGCGGUAAUACGGAGGAUCCGAGCGUUAUCCGGAUUUAUUGGGUUUAAAGGGUGCGUAGGUGGUUUGAUAAGUCAGCGGUGAAAGUUUGCAGCUUAACUGUAAAAAUGCCGUUGAAACUGUCGGACUUGAGUGUAAAUGAGGUAGGCGGAAUGCGUGGUGUAGCGGUGAAAUGCAUAGAUAUCACGCAGAACUCCGAUUGCGAAGGCAGCUUACUAAGCUACAACUGACACUGAAGCACGAAAGCGUGGGGAUCAAACAGGAUUAGAUACCCUGGUAGUCCACGCAGUAAACGAUGAUUACUAGCUGUUUGCGA
rnacentral:rRNA from 1 species